CUACGGGAGGCUGCAGUGGGGAAUAUUGCACAAUGGAGGAAACUCUGAUGCAGCAACGCCGCGUGGAGGAUGACACUUUUCGGAGCGUAAACUCCUUUUAUAUAGGAAGAAGAUGACGGUACUAUAUGAAUAAGCGCCGGCUAACUCCGUGCCAGCAGCCGCGGUAAUACGGAGGGCGCAAGCGUUACUCGGAAUCACGGGGCGUAAAGAGCGUGUAGGCGGAUUAAAAAGUCAGAAGUGAAAUCCUAUAGCUUAACUAUAGAACUGCUUCUGAAACUCUUAAUCUAGAAUAUGGGAGAGGUAGAUGGAAUUUCUGGUGUAGGGGUAAAAUCCGUAGAGAUCAGGAGGAAUACCGAUUGCGAAGGCGAUCUACUAGAACAUUAUUGACGCUGAGACGCGAAAGCGUGGGGAGCAAACAGGUUUAGAUACCCUCGUAGUC
rnacentral:rRNA from 1 species